rnacentral:rRNA from 1 species
AAACCAACCGGGAUUGCCUUAGUAACGGCGAGUGAAGCGGCAAAAGCUCAAAUUUGAAAUCUGGUACCUUCGGUGCCCGAGUUGUAAUUUGGAGAGGGCAACUUUGGGGCCGUUCCUUGUCUAUGUUCCUUGGAACAGGACGUCAUAGAGGGUGAGAAUCCCGUGUGGCGAGGAGUGCGGUUCUUUGUAAAGUGCCUUCGAAGAGUCGAGUUGUUUGGGAAUGCAGCUCUAAGUGGGUGGUAAAUUCCAUCUAAAGCUAAAUAUUGGCGAGAGACCGAUAGCGAACAAGUACAGUGAUGGAAAGAUGAAAAGAACUUUGAAAAGAGAGUGAAAAAGUACGUGAAAUUGUUGAAAGGGAAGGGCAUUUGAUCAGACAUGGUGUUUUGUGCCCUCUGCUCCUUGUGGGUAGGGGAAUCUCGCAUUUCACUGGGCCAGCAUCAGUUUUGGUGGCAGGAUAAAUCCAUAGGAAUGUAGCUUGCCUCGGUAAGUAUUAUAGCCUGUGGGAAUACUGCCAGCUGGGACUGAGGACUGCGACGUAAGUCAAGGGAUGCCGG